AGGAUGCGCUAAUAAGGAAAACAGAAGUUCUGUCUGCAUGGAAGUAAAGUAACAUCGUAGUGGGGAAAGGUGACCAGGUACAUAAUCGGGAUGAGGUCAAUCUGUGGCGGUCUCUUGGUUCCUCAUGUCCUGAUUGUGGCGGAGGUAGCAGCUUCCACGGUGGAUCAAUGCAGGGGUCUUUCCUAGACGCCCAGCCUAGAGACUGCUCACCCAGUCUUUUCCAACUCUGCCUAAGUAGCAGAAAACAUGCGAAGUAUUCACCUGUCCAGGUCAACGGUCCAUCUUGCUGUCCUACAUCUGGGUUAUAUCAGCUCUCCAGCUCUGUUGAAAUCUCAUCCGAGGCACUUUAACCAUCUCACCUUUCCCAGCGGAACAUCACUUGACAUGUGUUUACAUCAUGUUUUUGGACCUAAUAAGCAAGGAGUAGCAGGUAGGUAUCCAAAUGCUUUGAGUAAAAAAUAAUACAUACAUACAUACAUACAAUGUGUUUUAGAGGAUAAGCAAAAAUCCUGUGGAAAUUAAGGGCACUUUCAUCUCUGUGAAGUUCUUAAGGAUCCAGAGGAGUAGUCAGGAGCACAGCAGCUAGUCUAAAGUGAGCUGUUACACUGUACACUCCCCACCACUAAGAAAACAUCUGAACAUUUGACGGAUUACUUUUGGUCUUAGAAG